rnacentral:rRNA from 1 species
UACGUAGGGGGCUAGCGUUGUCCGGAAUCAUUGGGCGUAAAGCGCGUGUAGGCGGCCCGGUAAGUCCGCUGUGAAAGCCCGGGGCUCAACCCCGGGAGGCGGAUGGAUACUGUUUGGCUCGAGUCCGGAAGAGGCGAGUGGAAUUCCCGGUGUAGCGGUGAAAUGCGCAGAUAUCGGGAGGAACACCAAUGGCGAAGGCAGCUCGCUGGGACGGUACUGACGCUGAGACGCGAAAGCGUGGGGAGCAAACAGG